rnacentral:rRNA from 1 species
UCGAGAAUCUUUCACAAUGGGGGCAACCCUGAUGGAGCGACGCCGCGUGGAGGAUAAGGUCUUCGGAUUGUAAACUCCUGUCAUGUGUGAACAAGGCUGCCGUGUUAAUAGCAUGGCAGAUUGAUGGUAACACAAGAGGAAGAGACGGCUAACUCUGUGCCAGCAGCCGCGGUAAUACAGAGGUCUCAAGCGUUGUUCGGAAUCACUGGGCGUAAAGGGUGCGUAGGUGGCGUGGAAAGUCAGAUGUGAAAGCCCGGGGCUCAACCUCGGAAUAGCAUCCGAUACUACCAUGCUAGAGUACUGAAGAGGUGACUAGAAUUCUCGGUGUAGCAGUGAAAUGCGUAGAUAUCGAGAGGAAUACCAACGGCGAAGGCAGGUCACUGGGCAGUUACUGACACUGAGGCACGAAGGCCAGGGGAGCAAACG